GAUGAAGAACGUAGCGAAAUGCGAUAAGUAGUGUGAAUUGCAGAAUUCAGUGAAUCAUCGAAUCUUUGAACGCACAUUGCGCCCCUUGGUAUUCCGAGGGGCAUGCCUGUUCGAGCGUCAUUAUAACCCCUCAAGCUAAGCUUGGUGUUGGGGCCUGCUGCACUGGCAGCCCUUAAAAUCAGUGGCGGCGCCAUCUGGCUCUAAGCGUAGUAAUUCUUCUCGCUAUGGAGUCCUGGUGGAUGCUUGCCAUCAACCCCCAAUUUUUCUAUGGUUGACCUCGGAUCAGGUAGGGAUACCCGCUGAACUUAAGCAUAUCAAUAAGCGGAGGA
rnacentral:misc_RNA from 1 species